GGUAGGGGAGCGUCGUGCAUGUGUGGAAGCAUUUGGGUGACCGGGUGUGGAGUGUGUGCGAGUGAGAAUGCAGGCAUGAGUAACGUUUGGCAAGUGAGAAUCUUGUCCGCUGUAUGACUAAGGGUUCCUGGGUCAAGUUCGUCUUCCCAGGGUGAGUCGGGGCCUAAGGCGAGGCCGACAGGCGUAGUCGAUGGUCAACGGGUUGAUAUUCCCGUACCCGUGUAUCCG
rnacentral:rRNA from 1 species